CAAAGGGUGGGGCCUGCAAGAGUCACGUACAGGAAAUCCCGCCGUUCUUCUUAAACCCAAUUGGCUACCGUCUUUUAUUCUCUGUAUUAUCAUUCACCAGUGUCCAUGUCAGUCAUUUUCUGACUAAUUCCUUUCCUGUGUAUUAUUCUUUCAACAAGGAUAAUGUGGUGCCAGGAGUUAUGAUGAUGGCCAUUGUUAAUCGUUCAUGUAUUGAAGCCUUCUGCAGCCACAGUGGAUUUUAAACAUAUUCUCAAUUGCUUUCACUUAAAUUCAAUUAAGAUAACUUAUACUGCGCUAAAGUAGAUCAUUAAAACAGACUAAAGUCUAACUAUUAGCCCAUUAAUCUGUCAUUGCUUGGCGAUUUCAGAGGCAGGUCGACCCUUCCUUUUUCAGGAUAAGAUGUGAUGCAUUUGUAGCUAGAUGCUUCCCUUGUGUUGGCAGCUGAAUAAAAUAAAAUUGUACCGUACCAGUCAAAAGUUUGGAAACAGCUACUUAUUCAAGGGGGUUUCUUUAUUUGUAAUAUUUUCUACAUUGUAGAAUAAUAGUGAAUACAUCAAAACUAUGAAAUAACACAUGGAAUCAUGUAGUAACCAAAAUAUUUUAAAUUUGAGAUUCUUCAAAGUAGCCACUCCGCCUUUGACAGCUUUGCACACGCUUGGCAUUCUCUCAACCAGUUUCACCUGGAAUUCUCUUCCAACAGUCUUGGAGGAGUUCCCACAUAUGCGGAGCAAUUGUUGGCUGCUUUUCCUCCAUUCUGCAGUUCAACUCAUCCCAAAUCUUCUCAUUUGGAUGGAGGUUGGGUGAUUGUGGAGGCAAGGUCAUCUGAUGCAGUACAUCACUCUCCUUGGUCAAAUAGCCCUUACACAGCCUGGAGGUGUGUUUUGGGUCAUUGUCCUGUUGAAAAACCAAAUGAUAGUUCCUCUAAGUGCAAACAGAUGGGAUAGCAUAUUGCUGCAGAAUGCUGUGGUAGCCAUGCUGGUUAAUUAAGUGGGCCUUGAAUUCUAAAUAAUUCACACAGUGUCACCAGCAAAACACCAUCACACCACCUCCACCUUGCUUCACGGUGAGAACCACACAUGCGGCAGUAAUCUGUUCACCUACUCUGCAACUCACACAGACACGACGGUUGGAACCAAAAAUCUCAAAUUUAGACCCAUCUGACCAAAGGACAGAUUUCCACUGGUUAAUGUCCAUUACUCGUGUUUCUUGGCCCAAGCAAGUCUCUUCUUAUUAUUGGUGUCAUUUACUGGUGUUUUCUUUCUCUGCAGCAGAGAACCUUUCCUGUGGCAGUCCUCAUGAGAGCUAGUUCCAUCAUAAAGGUUGAUGAUUUUUGCGACUUCACUUGAAGAAACUUUUAAAGUUCUUGACGUUUUCCAGAUUGACUGACCUUCAUCAUUACAGUGACUACCUCAUGAAGCUGGUUGAGAGAAUGCCAAGCGUGUGCAAAGCUGUCAUCAAGGCAAAGGGUGACUAUUUGAAGAAUCUCAAAUAUAUAAAAUAUAUUUUCAUUUGUUUAAUGCUUUUUUGGUUACUACUUGACUCCGUAUGUGUUAUUUCAUAGUUUUGAUGUCUUCGCUAUUAUUCUACAAUGUAUAAAAUAGUAAAAAAAUAAAGAAAAACCCUUGAAUGAGUAGGUGACUGGUACUGUAUAUGUCAAUUGUUCAUCAGUUAUGUUUGGACAGUCUGACAGUGGUUGUGAUUAUGUUAAAAGGAGCACCAAAAGUAAGAUAAACAUAAUUUUACACUGUUAUACUCUAUGUACAUGUUAUAUUUUUCUUUCUGUAAUGAAUAAAUUGCUCAUUUAUAUAAUGGUA